rnacentral:rRNA from 1 species
GAUGAACGCUGGCGGCGUGCCUAAUACAUGCAAGUCGAGCGAACGGACGAGAAGCUUGCUUCUCUGAUGUUAGCGGCGGACGGGUGAGUAACACGUGGAUAACCUACCUAUAAGACUGGGAUAACUUCGGGAAACCGGAGCUAAUACCGGAUAAUAUUUUGAACCGCAUGGUUCAAAAGUGAAAGACGGUCUUGCUGUCACUUAUAGAUGGAUCCGCGCUGCAUUAGCUAGUUGGUAAGGUAACGGCUUACCAAGGCAACGAUGCAUAGCCGACCUGAGAGGGUGAUCGGCCACACUGGAACUGAGACACGGUCCAGACUCCUACGGGAGGCAGCAGUAGGGAAUCUUCCGCAAUGGGCGAAAGCCUGACGGAGCAACGCCGCGUGAGUGAUGAAGGUCUUCGGAUCGUAAAACUCUGUUAUUAGGGAAGAACAGAUGCGUAAGUAACUGUGCACAUCUUGACGGUACCUAAUCAGAAAGCCACGGCUAACUACGUG